GACGAACGCUGGCGGCGUGCUUAACACAUGCAAGUCGAACGAUGAUGCCCAGCUUGCUGGGUGGAUUAGUGGCGAACGGGUGAGUAACACGUGAGUAACCUGCCCCUGACUCUGGGAUAAGCGUUGGAAACGACGUCUAAUACUGGAUAUGACGGCCGGCCGCAUGGUCUGGUGGUGGAAAGAUUUUUUGGUUGGGGAUGGACUCGCGGCCUAUCAGCUUGUUGGUGGGGUAAUGGCUCACCAAGGCGACGACGGGUAGCCGGCCUGAGAGGGUGACCGGCCACACUGGGACUGAGACACGGCCCAGACUCCUACGGGAGGCAGCAGUGGGGAAUAUUGCACAAUGGGCGAAAGCCUGAUGUAGCAACGCCGCGUGAGGGAUGACGGCCUUCGGGUUGUAAACCUCUUUUAGUAGGGAAGAAGCGAAAGUGACGGUACCUGCAGAAAAAGCACCGGCUAACUACGUGCCAGCCGCCGCAGUAA
rnacentral:rRNA from 1 species